rnacentral:rRNA from 1 species
CCUACGGGAGGCAGCAGUGGGGAAUAUUGGACAAUGGGCGCAAGCCUGAUCCAGCCAUGCCGCGUGAGUGAUGAAGGCCUUAGGGUUGUAAAGCUCUUUUGCCAGGGAAGAUAAUGACUGUACCUGGAGAAUAAGCCCCGGCUAACUUCGUGCCAGCAGCCGCGGUAAUACGAAGGGGGCUAGCGUUGUUCGGAAUCACUGGGCGUAAAGCGCACGUAGGCGGACUUUUAAGUCAGGGGUGAAGGCCUGAGGCUCAACCUCAGAACUGCCCUUGAUACUGGGAGUCUUGAGUAUGGUAGAGGUUGGUGGAACAGCAAGUGUAGAGGUGAAAUUCGUAGAUAUUUGCUAGAACACCAGUGGCGAAGGCGGCCAACUGGACCAUAACUGACGCUGAGGUGCGAAAGCGUGGGGAGCAAACAGGAUUAGAUACCCUGGUAGUCCACGCCGUAAACGAUGGAUGCUAGCCGUUAGCCAGCUUGCUGGGUAGUGGCGCAGGUAACCCUUUAAGCAUCCCGCCUGGGGAGUACGGUCGCAAGAUUAAAACUCAAAUGAAUUGACGG